rnacentral:rRNA from 1 species
GAUGAACGCUGGCGGCGUGCCUAAUACAUGCAAGUCGAGCGAAUGGAUUAAGAGCUUGCUCUUAUGAAGUUAGCGGCGGACGGGUGAGUAACACGUGGGUAACCUGCCCAUAAGACUGGGAUAACUCCGGGAAACCGGGGCUAAUACCGGAUAACAUUUUGAACCGCAUGGUUCGAAAUUGAAAGGCGGCUUCGGCUGUCACUUAUGGAUGGACCCGCGUCGCAUUAGCUAGUUGGUGAGGUAACGGCUCACCAAGGCAACGAUGCGUAGCCGACCUGAGAGGGUGAUCGGCCACACUGGGACUGAGACACGGCCCAGACUCCUACGGGAGGCGGCAGUAGGGAAUCUUCCGCAAUGGACGAAAGUCUGACGGAGCAACGCCGCGUGAGUGAUGAAGGCUUUCGGGUCGUAAAACUCUGUUGUUAGGGAAGAACAAGUGCUAGUUGAAUAAGCUGGCACCUUGACGGUACCUAACCAGAAAGCCACGGCUAACUACGUGCCAGCAGCCGCAGUAA